GGUUGUGGUCAUACCACCCUGAGCACAUCUGAUCUUGUCUGAUCUCUGAGGCUAAGCAGGGUCAGCCCUGAUUAAUCCAGAGAUAUUGCUGAUUCAAUUCCAGACUACUAUAGUAA
rnacentral:rRNA from 1 species